rnacentral:rRNA from 1 species
UACGAAGGGGGGCUAGCGUUGCUCGGAAUCACUGGGCGUAAAGGGUGCGUAGGCGGGUCUUUAAGUCAGGGGUGAAAUCCUGGAGCUCAACUCCAGAACUGCCUUUGAUACUGAGGAUCUUGAGUUCGGGAGAGGUGAGUGGAAUUCCCAGUGUAGAGGUGAAAUUCGUAGAUAUUGGGAAGAACACCGGUGGCGAAGGCGGCUCACUGGCUCGUAUCUGACGCUCAGGCGCGACAGCGUGGGGAUCAAACAGG